rnacentral:rRNA from 1 species
UACGUAGGGGGCUAGCGUUGUCCGGAUUUAUUGGGCGUAAAGAGCGUGUAGGCGGUUAGGUAGGUCCGUUGUGAAAACUCGAGGCUCAACCUCGAGACGCCGAUGGAAACCAUCUGACUAGAGUCCGGAAGAGGAGAGUGGAAUUCCUGGUGUAGCGGUGAAAUGCGCAGAUAUCAGGAAGAACACCAAUGGCGAAGGCAGCUCUCUGGGACGGUACUGACACUGAGACGCGAAAGCGUGGGGAGCGAACAGG